rnacentral:rRNA from 1 species
CGGAUCGGAGUCUGCAACCCGAACUCCGUGAAGCUGGAUUCGCUAGUAAUCGCGCAUCAGCCAUGGCGCGGUGAAUACGUUCCCGGGCCUUGUACACACCGCCCGUCAAGCCAUGGAAGCCGGGGGCGCUUGAAGUGCGUUGCCGCAAGGCGCGCCCUAGAGCGAAACCGGUGACUGGGGCUAAGUCGUAACAAGGUAUC